UCUGUACGCCGGAUUUUGAAGGAGCGACGGGCAAACUCACCUGCCAGCAAAUGCUUGAUGGUAAACUGGCGGACGGCGGGGACGAACGACUUUUGCGUCAGCCUCUCGGCGGCCUCGUCGGAGGGUCGCGAGAGCUCCGGCAGCUCCUUGCACUCACCCGGUAGCCUUGGACGAAGGGCUCCAGAAGGCCCGUCAGGAAGUCCAGGGUCCUCUGCCCCCGCUCCGUGGCCGCCAACUCGUGCUGGGCGACCUGCAGCGCCCCCGUCCUCUCCAGCAGCGCUCACCUGCACGGCGGCCCCGGGGGCCAGGAUGAACUCGUUGGAGAAGACGUCCCUCAGGAAGCUGAAGCGCUGGAAGACUUCCUCUGGGGGGCAGAAAAAUUCAUUUGAGGAUGAAAAUGGC